UCCUCAAAACAGACCUGGCUGGAUUCUGGCAGACACACCUGCUUCUCAUCCACUCAUCAACCUCCUGCACAUCAAAGGACCAACUCAUCGCCCGCUUGCUGCCAGAUUGUUAUAGCUAUCAAAGUGGAAUAAGGAGCAAGCCAAAACCCAGAAUCCUUACUGGCUAUUGCCAGCGCCCAGUCCCAGUGAAAGCCACAGGAACAUCCUCCGGCUAUGCAGAAGUUUUUCUUUCACCACCUGGACCUACAGUGCUGUUCUCGCAUCAAAACACUUUGCAAGGUGCUCCAAAAUACUCCAACUCUUACCAGCGGAAUCUGGGGGACUUCUACCACAUGGAGACCUUGUUGUUGCUUUGGCACAUGUGGGAAAAUGGAUACUUUCUGAAAACAUAAUGGAGAGUCUGCGGUUCUGUUGCCUUGUGAGGUCGCUCUAAGUUUGCGGUUGUUUGUUCGUCCCAGCCCUGUACUACGGUUUCCUCGCGCCCCGGGAGACGCACGCGACCCACCGCGGCGGCUCUGACUCUCGGCUGAGUCACUGGACUGGACCGCACCACACCGACCCUCCGCCUCCGCCUGUCUCGCUCCUGUAUAUAAAGAAACCGAACAGAGCUGAUGCCGAGCACCUCGCAGUUCUCAAUACAGAGUGUACGUGUGAAACAGCUGAGACGAGGAAGAGUUCAAAAACGACAGUGAAUAACCAACCAAGAGUGCGGUUACUUUCUUUACGAAACAGCUGUACAAAUAGCAUAACAUGCUUGUAUAAUUAUUAACUACUACAAUAUUAUUUUAAUGAAAAAUACUUCUUUUAUUCAAAUAAAUUUUGUGGAUGGUAUGUCCUAUGUAUUAUAGGGUGCCUGUGAGUAAAUAAAAGCAAUAAAAAGCAA